rnacentral:rRNA from 1 species
CCUACGGGUGGCUGCAGUGGGGAAUAUUGGACAAUGGGCGAAAGCCUGAUCCAGCCAUGCCGCGUGUGUGAAGAGGGCCUUCGGGUUGUAAAGCACUUUCAGUGGGGAAGAAAGCCUUGGGGCUAAUACCCUCGAGGAAGGACAUCACCCACAGAAGAAGCACCGGCUAACUCCGUGCCAGCAGCCGCGGUAAUACGGAGGGUGCGAGCGUUAAUCGGAAUUACUGGGCGUAAAGCGCGCGUAGGCGGUCUGAUAAGCCGGUUGUGAAAGCCCCGGGCUCAACCUGGGAACGGCAUCCGGAACUGUCAGGCUAGAGUGCAGGAGAGGAAGGUAGAAUUCCCGGUGUAGCGGCGAAAUGCGUAGAGAUCGGGAGGAAUACCAGUGGCGAAGGCGGCCUUCUGGACUGACACUGACGCUGAGGUGCGAAAGCGUGGGUAGCAAACAGGAUUAGAUACCCUGGUAGUC